AAGUCGUAACAAGGUUUCCGUAGGUGAACCUGCGGAAGGAUCAUUACAGAGUUCAUGCCCUCACGGGUAGAUCUCCCACCCUUGAAUACCUUACCUUUGUUGCUUUGGCGGGCCGCGCUUUUGCGCGUUGGCUCUGGCUAACUGUGCCCGCCAGAGGACCCAAACUCUUUUGUUUAGUAAUGUCUGAGUACUAUAUAAUAGUUAAAACUUUCAACAACGGAUCUCUUGGUUCUG
rnacentral:misc_RNA from 1 species